rnacentral:lncRNA from 1 species
UGCAUAAUACUUUACCAAAGUUAGGAACACAUUUAAUAUGAACCAGGAAGAAACAAAGGUGAUAAGAAAACUAGGAAUCUGAUUGAUCAAAAAAAAAACAAAAGAAACCGCAUCUACAAGUUAGUAUGGCACUGUUUGACAUUUAAUCAAGUAAAGCUCUUGUUCUUGCACUUCACAUAUCAAUGGAAUGGGAAAUACAUGGAAAAGCAAAGAAAAUAAGACCAAGCAAAGGUCAGCAACAGCAAAGCAACACCAGCAGCAAUGUGACAGUGCUUAACAAAUUGGAAACCCACGCAGACCUCAAACCAAACUCCACACAAAUCGAAAUCAGACUUCUAGACUUAGAUUCAAUCAAUUUUACACCCAGAUCAAUCAGAAAUUCUUCAGAAAUUGAAUGUCUCCAGAAUUAUAGAAGAAAUGUAAUGGAAAAGUAAUUUUUUUUCUUUUGAUAUUUUCAGUCGUUUUAAUUUCUAUCCAGUCCGAUCCCCUCCUCAAAAUUCACCUAAUGAGGCAUUUAUAGAAAGGUGUUAGGUCAGCAAUAAAGGGUUCAAAGUUUGCUUGUUAGUCC